AAAUUUGGUCAGAAAGUUUUAGUGCGUAAGCUUUUAGUGCAAACUAUUUUUUCCCCUAGAUUAACAGUAACAACAACAUAAGUUGGUGACAAAGGCGAAUUUAUUAUGUUUUAACUGAGUUUCUAACUAACUCUAGCUAGUCUGGAGAUCAAUUUUAAUGUCAAAAAUUCUAAAUAUUGGAUAAUUGCAAUAAAUAUGAACUCAAUAAUCAACUCUCUAAAGUAAAGGGGUACGUUCCUUGCCGUCAUGAGCUCCCACCCUCGCUUCCUGCUUAACUUUGACGAUGGCGAUAGCAUCUGGUGCAAUCUGGACGAAGUCCGACGCGUACCGCUUCGACGAGAGCAAGUUGGUUGUAUGGUGUGGGGCCGCUGGUCAGAUGGGCGCUACUUCCUCGGGCGCGUAACUGACGUGAGAGAUGGCAAGAUCCAUGUGACCUUCGACGAUGGCGACAACAUAUCACAUGACCUUGGUGACGUAAGCGCGGUGAUCGUGGACCUUGUACCCAACCCCACGCACGUGCCAAUCGGUGCACGAGUGAUCGCCGCAUUCGAGGGGCGUUGCCAUUACUAUAAAGGGCGUGUGACGCAGAUAGAUUCGACCAAUCCGUAUGCGCCACGUUAUCACGUGACUUAUGACGAUGGGGACAAGGGCUGGGUGAACUGCGACAAAGUGAGGCUUCUGCCCAUGCGCGUGGAUGAAGUUGGGGCGCGUGUUUACGCUCGGUGGACCAAUGGCCAGUUCUACCUCGGCACCGUGGAACGCGUGGGCCACAAGAUCGAGAUCAAGUACGACGAUGGAGAUCGUAUUGCGCAUGACCCAAGUGACAUCACGGCUGCUGUCAUUCUCGACAGUACCCCCAACCCAGGCUCUGUUGGCCGCGGCACCCGUGUUAUCGCUGCGUGGCCUGGGAAAGAGAAGUACUACCUGGGAACGGUUGACGCCGUCAACAAAGAUCAGAUGUACGAGCCUCAAUAUCAUGUUAAAUAUGAUGAUGGUGACGAGAGUUGGGUGACUGUGAAUCAACUAAGGGUUAUCCCCGCCCCUGGACCGGCCCCUGAAUCCCAGUUUAUGGUCGUCCAGAUUGGAGCUGAUGUGGUCGCACUGAACAGUAUUGCACAUCCCCAUUUCUACCUUGGCCUUGAGGGAGGUUAUCUCCGCGGGAAGUGGUUUGAUACGUACUGUCACUUCUACUUGCGCGAGGCUCCAAAUCAAUUCAUGUCAUUGGAAGCAUGUAUGUUGCCAGGACAACAUGUCGGUGUUGAUAGCAAGGGAAGCGUGAUGCCCCCUGCGUCAGUGUAUGCAGGAACUGAGCCUGCAAUGUUUGAGGUCAAACUACUGUUCAGCCCCUAUGGUCAGACAUACAAAGCAAACCACUCCCAAGGUGGAUACCCUCAGCCAGGAGGUCAAUUUCCCCCAGGGGGGUACCCUCAGCCAGGAGGUCAAUUUCCCCCAGGGGGUACCCUCAGCCAGGAGGUCAAUUUCCCCCAGGGGGGUACCCUCAGCCAGGAGGUCAAUUUCCCCCAGGGGGGUAUCCACAACCUGGAAUUCAUCCUCCCCCAGAGCAUGGUGAAUACCCUCCUCCAGGGGGCUACCCUGGCUAUGGAAGUGCUCCACCACCAUACUAGACAUGUGAGGUGAUAUGGUCAAAACAAACAUUCUGGUUGCAGUGUUAUAUACAUCCAAGAAAAGACAAUGAUUCAAAUUCUCUCACACAUGCCUCAAUGCCUACUUGCUUAUGAUGUCCUACGCACCUGUAGUACCGCCAAGUACUGCCCCCUCCCCUCCCUUGCUACUCAACGUGUCAGUAGCUUUACCUCACUCAUCUGCAAAAAAAACAUUGCCAAUGUUAUAUUAAACGUUAGAACCUUCUGCAACAGCUUCAGCACUGCAAUGCAUCUUUCUUUUGUACUUUCUUUUGUGUACAUUUAAAUAAAUGAAAUAAAAUUAUAAGUUAUUAUGGACACUA